GACGAACGCUGGCGGCGUGCUUAACACAUGCAAGUCGAACGGUGAAGCGCCUUCCUUUUUGGUGGGUGUGGAUGAGUGGCGAACGGGUGAGUAACACGUGAGUAACCUGCCCCCUUCUUCUGGAUAACCGCAUGAAAGUGUGGCUAAUACGGGAUAUUCUGGGUCUGUCGCAUGAUGGGUCUGGGAAAGAUAUUGUUUCGGUGGGGGAUGGGCUCGCGGCCUAUCAGCUUGUUGGUGGGGUGAUGGCCUACCAAGGCGGUGACGGGUAGCCGGCCUGAGAGGGUGGACGGUCACACUGGGACUGAGACACGGACCAGACUCCUACGGGAGGAAGCAGUGGGGAAUAUUGCACAAUGGGAGCAAGGCUGAUGCAGCGACGCCGCGUGAGGGAUGGAGGCCUUCGGGUUGUGAACCUCUUUCGCCAGUGAAGCAGGCCUGCCUCGUUUGUGGGUGGGUUGACGGUAGCUGGAUAAGAAGCGCCGGCUAACUACGUG
rnacentral:rRNA from 1 species